ensembl:lncRNA
GGGAGGGAGAGAGGGAGAUGCAUGCGGUGAUGAGAGGGGAAGAGAGAGAGAGAGAGAGGGGGAGGGAGGGAGAGAGAGAGAGGAGAGGAGAGAGGGAGGGAGAGCGAGAGAUUGCACUAGAGAGAGAUAGAUUCUUAGAAUAGUUAUUUACCAACAAGAGUCCCUAAAGGACGGGCUAGCCUUGUUGAGGAACAUGAAUCUGUCUCUGCCGUUCUGUGAGGCUGAGUUACGUCUCUUUGGAUGUGCAUUAUCGCCCGCUCACAGACGGUCGCUGUGACCCCCUGAUCCUUUUAACACAGACCGAGGAGCUUUUCAAGAAGUGCGUCCGACAUAAAUAAUUGUGGACGCCGACCGGAGAAUACUUAACGAUGAAGUGUGUCGUGUGAGGCUGUCGCAGAAACGGAGGCCUUGGGUUCGUUCGGGAGCGCUGUGGAUACGUGUGAACGCAGAAACGCUUUACAUUCCUCCCUCACCACUAGGCAUGUUGCAUCGUUCCCACGUACUCCUGUCCCCCUGCCCUUGUGUUCUCCUUCAGCGGAUCCGCGCUACUCCUGCAUGCGGUGACGCAAACGCCUCCGUCGGGUUGCAUGAGGAGACGGACACGCUCCCUCUAGUCUCCCUCUUUCCCCGCCUGCUCCCUCAACCGCCCCGGGACGUUUGCUCCAUCUGCACGUUACGUCACUGACGCUCUCACUCACAGGAAACACACCGUCCCGGUGUUCAGCAAGUAACUGUGUGUGUGUGUGUGUGUGUGUGUGUGUGUGUGUGUGUUCCUCCAGUGUACAGAAGACACCUGUGUGGCCCCCGACCAGAGGAGGAUGCCGGAGACCCCCCCACACAGCCUCCGACGCUGAGACCCCCCCUGGACCCCCCAGCGCCGGAGACCCAGGCCUGACCCGGCCUCACCUCCCUCUUCCUCACCCCCUUUCUCACCUCAUCUUCCUCAUCAUCAUCGUCCUAACCUCCUCACCCUCAUCUUCCUCAACCCCCUUUCUCACCUCAUCUUCCUCAUCAUCAUCGUCCUAAACCCUCAUCUUCCUCACCCCC